rnacentral:tRNA from 1 species
UCUAAUGUGGCAGACUAGUGCACCGGACUUAAGCUCCGUUCAUGAGGGAAAUCCCUUCAUUAGAA